rnacentral:rRNA from 1 species
UAGGGAAUCUUCCACAAUGGACGCAAGUCUGAUGGAGCAACGCCGCGUGAGUGAAGAAGGCUUUCGGGUCGUAAAACUCUGUUAUUGAAGAAGAACGUGUGUGACAGUAACUGGUCAUGCAGUGACGGUAUUCAAUCAGAAAGUCACGGCUAACUACGUGCCGGCAGCCGCGGUAUACGUAGGUGGCAAGCGUUGUCCGGAUUUAUUGGGCGUAAAGCGAGUGCAGGCGGUCUUUAAGUCUGAUGUGAAAGCCUUCGGCUUAACCGAA